rnacentral:rRNA from 1 species
ACGAACGCUGGCGGCGUGCCUAAUACAUGCAAGUCGAGCGGAAUGAUGAAGAAGCUUGCUUCUUCUGAUUUUAGCGGCGGACGGGUGAGUAACACGUGGGCAACCUACCUUGUAGAUUGGGAUAACUCCGGGAAACCGGGGCUAAUACCGAAUAAUCCAUUUUGCUUCAUGGCGAGAUGUUGAAAGACGGUUUCGGCUGUCACUAUAAGAUGGGCCCGCGGCGCAUUAGCUAGUUGGUAGGGUAAUGGCCUACCAAGGCGACGAUGCGUAGCCGACCUGAGAGGGUGAUCGGCCACACUGGGACUGAGACACGGCCCAGACUCCUACGGGAGGCAGCAGUAGGGAAUCUUCCACAAUGGACGAAAGUCUGAUGGAGCAACGCCGCGUGAGUGAAGAAGGUUUUCGGAUCGUAAAUCUCUGUUGUAAGGGAAGAACACGUACGAGAGUAACUGCUCGUACCUUGACGGUACCUUAUUAGAAAGCCACGGCUAACUACGUG